rfam:Angiostrongylus cantonensis strain Taiwan genome assembly, scaffold: ACAC_contig0000778
GGAGCGAUUUCUGAGUGGUUAAGGAAAUUGACUAGAAAUCAAUUGGGCUCUGCCCGUGUAGGUUCGAAUCCUGCUCGCUGCG